AAUGCAGAAAACCACCCCAAACUCCAGCUAGUGAUUUAAUCUCAUCUGAAAUUCUACAGGUGUAAGCUUCAUGAGCUAUAUAGGGCAGAUUUUUCAGCCAGUCUGUGAGAGUGUCUGUUUUUUUAGUAAGAAAUUUCAAGCAUCAUUUUUGAUAACUACAUCUGGUGAAUGGUCACUUCGUAAAACUGAAGGUCUUCCACUCAAAAGAAAGAAAUCAAAAAGAAGGAGAAAGAUAAAUUUGGAGAACUCAAAUAGAAUGGAUCAGAUGCCAAGGGUGGAACUACAGGUAAAAACGGGCUCUGUUUGAUGUGUACCUGCCACGCCUAGUCUGUGUUAGGCAUUGCGAGCUUUGUUUGUGUUACUGUUCAUUUGCACUGUGUUGAUGUGUUCGGUGUGUGAGGUAGGAAACCAGAGCUCCAGGAGAUUCGUAAUGUGCCCUCUCACCCUGGUUCUUAUGGGACAGAACCAGCAGAGUAUGAACUCUGGUCUUUCUGCCUUUAGAGCCACCUGUUUGUAUGUGACCAGAAGUCUGUUCUGAUCAGUCCUUUAAAGAACUUUCCGUACUUUGGGACUAUAUAGUUUUUCCCUUUUUUGCUUCUGUUUCAUUUUCUUCAUUGUUCCAUACACAGUAGACACCAUAACCAUUAUCACAAUUUCACAUUUAGAAACCACAGCUUGUAGAAUGUAUAAAAAAUUGACUUUUAUAAUAAGGUGUGCUGUUGAAGUUCUUCCCAUGAAGAGUAGCCCAUGUCCUGUUAUAAAUGCCCUUUACCCAGGAUGCUUGCCUUAGGUUUGUGUGAAAUUUGUUACAGUAUGCUUAUUUGUUAGAACAAGGCAUGAAAUUGCCACCUGACAACUAUUGUGAUAAAUGUACAAUUUGGCUGAGAUGCACAGUUUCCAGUAGGCAAGUGAAAAGAAAAUGUAUAAAAGUAGUUUUUAUUUCUUUCAUCAGUUUCAUUCUAGAACUAUUCUGUCACAGGUUUUUUUCAGUGGACUAUAUAUGGCUAAUAAGACUGUAGAAGAGGGUGAGUGGUGAUUGGACAGACCUAUACUGUAUUCUCUUGCAUAUGUAAAUAGCUUUCAGUGUCCAUUUUAGUGCUGUGAUGGGCCUCCCUCUCUCUUGUACUUUGGUGAGAACAAUUGUCUUUGCCAACAAGGUUAGAGAAUAGAAGUAUAGAGGCAAGGUGCAUAUACAGGAAACAAAACUGGAGAGAGUUUUAUCCCAUCUCAUUGUGUGACUUAAAAUAGAAGAACCAUUGGAGAUACAUAAGUAAUCAGGAUAGGUGAAUAUAGCCAGAUGGAAAGGAGUCUUGAGAUUUGGUCAUUUUUAUAUGUAUUAAGAGACAGGAAUUGCGUGUUCAAAACCCCUAAGGAUAACCCACGGUAGAACCCUUGGUAGACCAGUCUUCCUAUAAUGACUUUACUGUUCACCCUCCCAGAUGACUGUGGGUGACAGGCACCUGUCAGCAGCCAUCUCAGCCCAUUCUUCUCAUGUUGUUGAUCUAUCCCUUAUUCUGAAGUUUCUAAGCAUUUGUUAUAAAGUCUCUACUGUACCCUCGUGCUAUGUUUGCACAUUGCUUUGGGAUUCUUUUUUUCUUCCCAUCUUCUUCCUUUGGUACUAAGUAGUGUGUUGCUGUGGAAGAUAUCCAAUGAACACUCAUGCAUGAAUGUCCUUAGACUGUCUAGGCCUGUGUCAAGGUACCAGGAAAACCCUGUGGUAUCUGGGGCAGAGCUGAAAUCUCAUUGUUACCCACAGAAGGAAGGUACUGGGUCACAUAUCUGUUUUCUUUUCUCAACUGGAGGUUCUUGGUAAAAGCAAGUAUUCUAGAAGGUUCCCUCCUGUGAUUCUGACCUGGUAUAUGAUUUUUGGAUAUGCCAGAAUAGGAGAUGUGAAAACUCAGUACCACAGACUGGCAUUUAAUUUAAGCACUUACUAUCCAGACUAGGAAUUUAGUUCAGCCAAUGAGGUGAAAAGGGUGCAAACUAAAUCUAUUUCUCGUCUGAGUGUGUCAGACCAGAGGUGUGUCUAGAGGUGUCACUUUCUUUAUCUUACCUUACAUCUAUAGCCACCACAGGUAAUUACUUCUACUGGGUUUUUCUUUUCCCAGCUAGAAUCAUCUUACACUCUGGGUUUAUUUGAACAUGGUGCUAGUAAUACCUUCUUGCAUUCAAUCUUUUCAUUUUCCAUAGUAAUAAAAAGGAGAAUAAACAUGCUUUUGUUUGCUUU
ensembl:lncRNA